rnacentral:rRNA from 1 species
CCUACGGGUAGCAGCAGUGGGGCAUAUUGCACAAUGGGGGAAACCCUGAUGCAGCGCCGUCGCGUUAGUGAUGCCGUAUUUCGGUAUGUAAAGCUCUAUCAGCAGGGAAGAAAAUGACGGUACCUGACUAAGAAGCCCCGGCUAACUACGUGCCAGCCGCCGCGGUAAUCCGUAGGGGGCAAGCGUUAUCCGGAUUUACUGGGUGUAAAGGGAGCGUAGACGGCGGUGCAAGCCAGAUGUGAAAGCCCGGGGCUCAACCCCGGGACUGCAUUUGGAACUGUGCUGCUAGAGUGUCGGAGAGGCAGGCGGAAUUCCUAGUGGAGCGGUGAAAUGCGUAGAUAUUAGGAGGAACACCAGUGGCGAAGGCGGCCUGCUGGACGAUGACUGACGUUGAGGCUCGAAAGCGUGGGGAGCAAACAGGAGUAGAUACCCUAGUAGUC